rnacentral:lncRNA from 1 species
CCAGAAAGAUGCAGAAGACGCUCCCGGGGGGUUUUUGCGGGAAGGUUACGUGGGAAAUGCCACGGACCCGCGUGGGGGGCUUUCCUCGGACUGCCCGUAACCGUGCGGAAACCGCCGCUUCGAUGUGAUCCCCACGUCCACGGAGGACUUCCAGACGGCCGUUGGCAGCGGGAGCCACGCACAGCCCCCUUCCGGGAGAAAUUAAUUAGGUGGCGCCGCGUUCCCGCGGCGGCGGCCGGAAAUGAGCCGGGGCGCGGCCCCAGGGCCGACGGGGAUCCCCCGGGGCCCGACCGGCUGCGCCCGGAGUCGGAGAGGAGGACGGCGGGCGCCGGCCGCGGCGUGGGGGCAAAGACGAGCGAAGAAUGCGUCCUGAUUCUGUGCUGUCGCCGAGGAGCGGGGAAGCAGCCGACCUUGGCGACGGAGGUCACCGGCCUGCCUUCUCUUCCUCGGCCUUCACCGCCACGUGGGAGGAAGAGGCACUUAAGGAGGAGCAACCCGGCUCCUGCCUCACGCUGGGACCAGCUUUCUGCUCUGGAAGAAAAAAAAAAAAAAUCCCCGGGCCUUCUCUUUUUAUUUACUUAUUUCGGUUUUUAAUUCCGGGAGCCUAAUAUCUGGGAUUGGACUGUCCGCAGCCUACGUGUCUCUGUGACCUUACAGAUAACAGGCAGGCUUGGAUAGAAAAUGAAAUUCAAGCGCCAGCUAAUUUUAAAAACAUAACUAAAAACUCAUUCCCAAGGGGAGGGGGAGCGAUGGCAGUUUAAGUCCAAGCUGAACAUGUCUUUAAAUAACUAUUCCUGGUAUUUGCUAAAUGAUGGCUGUAUGGGGGUAGGGAUAGAAUUUAGUCAUUAAAAACAGCAUGUGCUCAAGGUGAGAAUAGAUGUUUUGUGACCCAGAGUCACCUAUAUGCUUUGCUGCGAGCCAGCACCUUCCAGAAAACAGACUGGCUGUGUCAGCCAUACUGGUGUUUGGUUGGUUGGUUGAACUACCAUUGGUGAAUGCCUGUGUUACUGCUGAUUCUCGGGCUGGCUGUUGUCCUCCUACACUGGGUCUGGAGUAGCCAAGGGCAGGGCAGGCUGAAGACUGGUGCUGGUAUCACCUUCGUGUGAUGGCACGUGGUUGGGUAAUGCAGGUGUCCCUUGUGGCCUCUGACCUGGGCCCAGAGAGCUCAGAACUUGCUGCUCAUUCUCGGGUGUGUUACUGCUGAUUCUAACAGCUGCCCUGGUCAAGGUGGUUGUGGCCGCCUGCAUGUUUGAGAGAGGUUUAGAGAGAUUCAGUGAUUUGUCCAAGGUCACAGCGCUCAGUGAGUACCACAGUGGACACAGAACUGGGAUGUCUCUGCCUUCUUUCUCCUACCCUCUGUGUGGUCAGUGACUCCAGAUACCUACAAUCAUAUGGAGGAGGGGAUUUCAUUCCAAAUAAAGACUAGCCAUGUCCUCGGUGAUAGGAGAGG